AGCAGUAGCCGCGGGAAUACAGAGGGUGCGAGCGUUAAUCGGAUUUACUGGGCGUAAAGCGUGCGUAGGCGGCUUCUUAAGUCGGAUGUGAAAUCCCUGAGCUUAACUUAGGAAUUGCAUUCGAUACUGGGAAGCUAGAGUAUGGGAGAGGAUGGUAGAAUUCCAGGUGUAGCGGUGAAAUGCGUAGAGAUCUGGAGGAAUACCGAUGGCGAAGGCAGCCAUCUGGCCUAACACUGACGCUGAGGUACGAAAGCAUGGGGAGCAAACAGGAUUAGAUACCCCAGUAGUCCCUGUCUCUUAUAC
rnacentral:rRNA from 1 species